rnacentral:rRNA from 1 species
CGGGCGGGUGAGUAAUGCUUGGGAAUCUAGCUUAUGGAGGGGGAUAACUACGGGAAACUGUAGCUAAUACCGCGUAAUAUCGAAAGAUUAAAGUGUGGGACCUUCGGGCCACAUGCCAUAGGAUGAGCCCAAGUGGGAUUAGGUAGUCGGUGAGGUAAAGGCUCACCAAGCCGACGAUCUCUAGCUGGUCUGAGAGGAUGACCAGCCACACUGGGACUGAGACACGGCCCAG